GUGGGGAAUCUUGCGCAAUGGGCGAAAGCCUGACGCAGCAACGCCGCGUGUGUGAUGAAGGUCUUCGGAUCGUAAAGCACUGUCGGGAGGGACGAAUAAGUCCCGGGUGAACAAUCCGGGGCGACGACGGUACCUCCAAAGGAAGCACCGGCUAACUCUGUGCCAGCAGCCGCGGUAAUACAGAGGGUGCAAGCGUUGUUCGGAAUUAUUGGGCGUAAAGCGCGUGUAGGCGGCCGUGCAAGUCGGAUGUGAAAGCCCUCGGCUUAACCGAGGAAGUGCGUUCGAAACUGCAUGGCUUGAGUACCGGAGAGGGUGGUGGAAUUCCCGGUGUAGAGGUGAAAUUCGUAGAUAUCGGGAGGAACACCAGUGGCGAAGGCGACCACCUGGACGGCUACUGACGCUGAGACGCGAAAGCGUGGGGAGCAAACAGGAUUAGAUACCCCGGUAGUCC
rnacentral:rRNA from 1 species